UACAGAGGUGGCGAGCGUUGUUCGGAUUUAUUGGGCGUAAAGGGUCCGUAGGCGGUUUGGAAAGUCGGGUGUGAAAUCCUACAGCUCAACUGUAGAACUGCACUCGAAACUCUCAAACUGGAGUGUGAGAGGGGUAAAGGGAAUUCCCGGUGUAAGGGUGAAAUCUGCAGAGAUCGGGAAGAACACCAGUGGCGAAGGCGGUCUGCUGGGCCGUUGCUGACGCUGAGGCGCGACAGCGUGGGGAGCAAACAGG
rnacentral:rRNA from 1 species